rnacentral:rRNA from 1 species
UACGUAGGUGGCAAGCGUUGUCCGGAAUCAUUGGGCGUAAAGCGCGUGUAGGCGGCUCGGUAAGUCCGCUCUGAAAGUCCAGGGCUCAACCCUGGGAUGCGGGUGGAUACUGCCGGGCUCGAGUCCGGAAGAGGCGGAGUGGAAUUCCCGGUGUAGCGGUGAAAUGCGCAGAUAUCGGGAGGAACACCAAUGGCGAAGGCAGCUCGCUGGGACGUGACUGACGCUGAGACGCGAAAGCGUGGGGAGCAACAGG